AGAGUUUGAUCCUGGCUCAGGACGAACGCUGGCGGCGCGCCUAACACAUGCAAGUCGAACGAGAGAUGAGGAGCUUGCUCUUCAAAUCGAGUGGCGAACGGGUGAGUAACGCGUGAGGAACCUGCCUCAAAGAGGGGGACAACAGUUGGAAACGACUGCUAAUACCGCAUAAGCCCACGGCUCGGCAUCGAGCAGAGGGAAAAGGAGUGAUCCGCUUUGAGAUGGCCUCGCGUCCGAUUAGCUAGUUGGUGAGGUAACGGCCCACCAAGGCGACGAUCGGUAGCCGGACUGAGAGGUUGAACGGCCACAUUGGGACUGAGACACGGCCCAGACUCCUACGGGAGGCAGCAGUGGGGAAUAUUGCACAAUGGGGGAAACCCUGAUGCAGCGACGCCGCGUGGAGGAAGAAGGUCUUCGGAUUGUAAACUCCUGUUGUUGAGGAAGAUAAUGACGGUACUCAACAAGGAAGUGACGGCUAACUACGUGCCAGCAGCCGCGGUAAAACGUAGGUCACAAGCGUUGUCCGGAAUUACUGGGUGUAAAGGGAGCGCAGGCGGGAAGACAAGUUGGAAGUGAAAACCAUGGGCUCAACCCAUGAAUUGCUUUCAAAACUGUUUUUCUUGAGUAGUGCAGAGGUAGAUGGAAUUCCCGGUGUAGCGGUGGAAUGCGUAGAUAUCGGGAGGAACACCAGUGGCGAAGGCGGCCUACUGGGCACCAACUGACGCUGAGGCUCGAAAGUGUGGGUAGCAAACAGGAUUAGAUACCCUGGUAGUCCACACCGUAAACGAUGAUUACUAGGUGUUGGAGGAUUGACCCCUUCAGUGCCGCAGUUAACACAAUAAGUAAUCCACCUGGGGAGUACGACCGCAAGGUUGAAACUCAAAGGAAUUGACGGGGGCC
rnacentral:rRNA from 1 species